rnacentral:tRNA from 1 species
GUUUAAAUAGCUUAUAUUAGAGCAAGAUAUUGAAGAUAUCUAGGAAGUAGGUUUACUUUUAAACA